AUUGAACGCUGGCGGCAUGCCUUACACAUGCAAGUCGAACGGUAACAGGUCUUCGGAUGCUGACGAGUGGCGAACGGGUGAGUAAUACAUCGGAACGUGCCCGAUCGUGGGGGAUAACGAAGCGAAAGCUUUGCUAAUACCGCAUACGAUCUACGGAUGAAAGCAGGGGACCGCAAGGCCUUGCGCGAACGGAGCGGCCGAUGGCAGAUUAGGUAGAUGGUGGGAUAAAAGCUUACCAAGCCGACGAUCUGUAGCUGGUCUGAGAGGACGACCAGCCACACUGGGACUGAGACACGGCCCAGACUCCUACGGGAGGCAGCAGUGGGGAAUUUUGGACAAUGGGCGAAAGCCUGAUCCAGCCAUGCCGCGUGCAGGAUGAAGGCCUUCGGGUUGUAAACUGCUUUUGUACGGAACGAAAAGACUCUGGUUAAUACCUGGGGUCCAUGACGGUACCGUAAGAAUAAGCACCGGCUAACUACGUG
rnacentral:rRNA from 1 species